GACGAACGCUGGCGGCGUGCUUAACACAUGCAAGUCGAACGGAAAGGCCCUGCUUGCAGGGUACUCGAGUGGCGAACGGGUGAGUAACACGUGGGUGAUCUGCCCUGCACUUCGGGAUAAGCCUGGGAAACUGGGUCUAAUACCGGAUAGGAGCCAUUUUUAGUGUGAUGGUUGGAAAGUUUUUUCGGUGUAGGAUGAGCUGGCGGCCUAUCAGCUUGUUGGUGGGGUAAUGGCCUACCAAGGCGGCGACGGGUAGCCGGCCUGAGAGGGUGGACGGCCACAUUGGGACUGAGAUACGGCCCAGACUCCUACGGGAGGCAGCAGUGGGGAAUAUUGCACAAUGGGCGCAAGCCUGAUGCAGCGACGCCGCGUGGGGGAUGACGGCCUUCGGGUUGUAAACUCCUUGCGCUAGGGACGAAGCUUUUUGUGACGGUACCUAGAUAAGAAGCACCGGCUAACUACGUG
rnacentral:rRNA from 1 species